rnacentral:pre_miRNA from 1 species
AUAAUACUCCCUCCGUCCGGAAAUACUUGUCAUCAAAAUGAAUAAAAGGGAAUGUAUCUAGAUGUAUUUUAGUUCUAGAUACAUCCCUUUUUAUUCAUUUUGAUGACAAGUAUUUUCGGACGGAGGGAGUACUAA